UCUGCCAGAGCCACCCUUCCAACCAAAAGAGACACUGCACAGGGCCACACUGUUCAUCCAUGGUGACCUCUCCUGUGGAGGAGGUAGAAAUUGACUUUAUUCCUGGCUAUUGGACAGAGACAUGGACCCCUCCAUAACCUGCUUUAAUGGCCUCAUGACAUGGCAUCAGGCUUCCUAAGGAAGAAGUGAUUCAAGAGGGAGAGAAACAUGAAUGAGUGACGUGGAUACCCGGGAAAAGCAUGCUCGUUCAAAAAGUGGGUGAAUGCAUCUCUGCUAUUAUAGAAAAUGCCACAAUGAAGAGCCUCACAUCUAGGGAUUGCCCUCCUCAUCAAUCAGCUCCUUCACCUAAAUUACAAUGAAUGAAAAUUACUGGGUCAAAGGGUGUGAACAGUUUUAUGGUUCUUAAUAUAUACCCUCAAGUUCCUGUUUUAUAUCAGCUGUCAGAAAGGGAUGAGCACAUCAAUUUAUUGCACACUCUGCCAGUAUUACUGUUACAUCUUCUUUGCCAAGUUAAUAGAUGGAAAAAUAUAUCUUAUUGUUUGA